rnacentral:misc_RNA from 1 species
AAGGGCCAUUCGACUCUUUAUUGCAUGAUUGAAUAUAUGUUAACUAGUAUAGGAUGAGCAGGUUUUGGGUUAACUAGGUAACUAAAUCCUGGCUUGAGCAUGACCAAAUUGACUCAAGUUGGGUUUGAGCUUUUGCCAAACUCAAGCCCAAGCUACUAUUAGGUUUGUCAUUGUUUCUUUGAUUUAUUUAUGUUGCAGCUAUGGCCUUCCUGCUGAAUUUACAUAAACAAGGUCUUAAAGAUAAACGUUAUAAAUUUCAUUUGGUGAAUAUUACAUUAUAGUAGAGAAAAUAGGGUUUUAG